AUUGAACGCUGGCGGCAGGCCUAACACAUGCAAGUCGAACGAGUGGCGGACGGGUGAGUAAUGUCUGGGAAACUGCCUGAUGGAGGGGGAUCACUACUGGAAACGGUAGCUAAUACCGCCUACCAUCGGAUGUGCCCAGAUGGGAUUAGCUAGUAGGUGGGGUAAAGCCUCACCUAGGCGACGAUCCCUAGCUGGUCUGAGAGGAUGACCAGGCACAAUGGAACUGAGAAGAGGUACAGACUCCUACGGGAGGCAGCAGUGGGGAAUAUUGAACAAUGGGCGCAAGCCUGAUGCAGCCAUGCCGCGUGUAUGAAGAAGGCCUUCGGGUGGUAAAGUACUUUCAGCGGGGAGGCGGUACCCGCAGAAGAAGCACCGGCUAACUCCGUGCCAGCAGCCGCGGUAAUAC
rnacentral:rRNA from 1 species